CAAAACUCUUUCAUAGUAGUUUAAAAAAUAUGUUUUCAUCUCUUUUUGUGCCUCACUUCUGACUCCGCUAACUUUCUCCACCUGCCUCAAGCAGUCUUCUUGACUUCUUCCUCUGACUGGCCUUCACUUGUCAUGUAUGGCUUCCAAAAGACUCCCCAAAAGUUCUCACUUAGUUUCUUACGUGGACCCACGAUAUAUCCAAACUGCAAUGGGGAAAAUCGUGCUGUGGAAGUAUGCCAUCUGUAUGCCAUCAACAAAUAGAGCUGGCAAGAACAUCUGUUGACAUCAAGGAAGGCGGAAAUUCGCUAGCCAGACUUCAACAGAAACCUUGGCACAACUGGUGAAUGUGAGUGGAAAAAUGAGUGUCAUAAUUUUGUGAGCACGGCUGGUGAUGCGUACAUAUCUAUGUAUCUUUGUGAGGUUUCCUUUUCAAACAUGACAGCCAUUAAACUGAAUAUCAGAAUAAAUUGAACUGAGAACCAGACCUUCAAAUCAUUCUAGCACAAAAUGAUACCCAAGGAUUCCAUAAGUUAUAAAGCACAUCCAAUAAUAUUGCUUUUAUUUUUAAAA